rnacentral:rRNA from 1 species
GACAGAGGGUGCAAACGUUGUUCGGAAUUACUGGGCGUAAAGCGAGUGUAGGCGGUUUCCUAAGUCAGGUGUGAAAGCCCCGGGCUCAACCCGGGAAGUCGCACUUGAAACUGGGAGGCUAGAGUAUCGGAGAGGUUGGUGGAAUUCUCGGUGUAGAGGUGAAAUUCGUAGAUAUCGAGAGGAACACCGGUGGCGAAGGCGGCCAACUGGACGAAUACUGACGCUGAGACUCGAAAGCGUGGGGAGCAAACAGG